rnacentral:rRNA from 1 species
CAGUCGCCGCGGGAAUACGUAGGUGGCAAGCGUUGUCCGGGAUUAUUGGGCGUGAAGGGCUCGCAGGCGGUUUCUUAAGUCUGAUGUGAAAGCCCCCGGCUCAACCGGGGAGGGUCAUUGGAAACUGGGAAACUUGAGUGCAGAAGAGGAGAGUGGAAUUCCACGUGUAGCGGUGAAAUGCGUAGAGAUGUGGAGGAACACCAGUGGCGAAGGCGACUCUCUGGUCUGUAACUGACGCUGAGGAGCGAAAGCGUGGGGAGCGAACAGGAUUAGAUACCCCCGUAGUCCCUGUCUCUUAUAC